rnacentral:rRNA from 1 species
GGGAGUAAAGAGCUCGUAUGCGGUUUGUCGCGUCUGUCGUGAAAGUCCGGGGCUUAACCCCGGAUCUGCGGUGGGUACGGGCAGACUAGAGUGCAGUAGGGGAGACUGGAAUUCCUGGUGUAGCGGUGGAAUGCGCAGAUAUCAGGAGGAACACCGAUGGCGAAGGCAGGUCUCUGGGCUGUAACUGACGCUGAGGAGCGAAAGCAUGGGGAGCGAACAGGAUUAGAUACCCUGGUAGUCCAUGCCGUAAACGUUGGGCACUAGGUGUGGGGACCAUUCCACGGUUUCCGCGCCGCAGCUAACGCAUUAAGUGCCCCGCCUGGGGAGUACGGCCGCAAGGCUAAAACUCAAAGAAAUUGACGGA